rnacentral:piRNA from 1 species
UCUUUGAAGAUAUUAAGAUAU